UAUUCUCUAAAUUCUCUUUUUGAUUGGUGUAUUAUCAAUGACGUGUCAAUUUCAUGGCCACAUUUCAAAGCUGAUUUCAGAAUGUAACUUUAUAUAUGUAUAUGUCAUUCCAUGCACAUAUAACAAACAUUAACUUUUCCAUUUAUUCGUCUCCAAUGGAAAUACAUUCAAGAUGGCGUCACUCAUUGACAACUAUGAGCAACAAUACGCCGUUUUGACAGCUGACAUUACUGCAAAAAUUGGUAGAAUAAGAACACAAAACGGCAGUGAGAAAAGAGCGUUCAUUCAAGAUGUGGACAGACAAAUCGAGGAGGCUCAAGAAUUGCUUGAGCAAAUGGAAUUGGAGGUUCGUGGGAUAAAUGGUGCAGCUCGCGACCGCUUACGUGGUCGAGUAGAGAGUCAUAGAGCAGAAUUAAAACGAUUGACACAAGAAUUUCAUUCAGCCAAAAAAUCAAAAGAUGAAACUAUUGAAAUAAACAGAGAAGAUUCAUGGGAAAAUAAUAUUACAGAAGAUCAGAAAAAAAGAUUGUUAGAUACUUCAGAACGAAUAGACCGUACAGGAAGAACUUUACAAAAUGGAUAUCGUAUGGUAUUAGAAACAGAAGAAAUUGGUUCCCAAGUAUUGAAAGAAUUACAUGAGCAAAGAGAAACAAUUCAAAGAGGAAGAGGAAGAUUAAGAGACACAGAUGCAGAAUUGGGUCGUGGUUCACGUUUACUCUCAGGAAUGAUUUUUAGAAGUCUUCAACAAAGAAUUAUUUUAGCACUAGUAGCAUUAACACUUAUAAUUGUUGCUUGUAUCGUCAUGUAUUAUAGCUUUAAAUCUAAAAGCUAAAGUGAGAGUAGAAUGAAUCUUUUGGUUGGGAUAAUGGCUCAGGAGCCAUAUUAAAUUUCACUGCAUUUCAGAUAUAUCACUACACAACAAGAGACGCUUAAAUAUGACAGAAUGCCGCCAAACAGUGAAGAAAUAUUCUAAUAUAUUAUUAGUAAUUAUAAAAAAUUUAGCUGUCGAACGGUAUUGUCAGUGAGCAUUGUUCACAAGCAGAAUUUAUUAAAAUGUUUGAAAAUA
rnacentral:misc_RNA from 1 species